ACCAUCCUAAGGAUGGAAUGGAGCUGGAUCAUCCCCUUCCUCCUGUCAGUAACAACAGGUGUCCACUCUGAAGUCCAGCUGCAGCAGUCUGGGUCUCAGCUGGGGAGACCUGGGUCCUCAGUGAAGUUGUCCUGCAAAGCUUCUGGCUACACCUUCACAGACUACUAUAUGAGCUGGAUGAAGCAGAAGCCAGGACAGGGUCUAGAGUGGAUUGGAGAGAUUUAUCCUGGAAAUGGUAAUACUAACUAUGAUCAGAAGUUUAAGGAAAAGACCAAACUGACUGUAGACAAAUCCUCCAGCACAGCCUACAUGGAGCUCAGCAGCCUGACAUCGGAAGACUCUGCGGUCUAUUACUGUGCGAGACACACAGUGAUGCAACCACAUCCUGAGUGUGUCAGAAACACUGGAGGAGCAGGAAGCUGCCCUGGGACUGAGAAGAUAGAGGACAUUAGCCUGGAGACUUGCUCAGAAAUAAUAAUUUUGAGCAUUCAUUUUUAUGCUUCCUCCUCACAGUGCUAUAGAGUCUUUGUCACCUUUGUAAAAGGACAUCUAUGA